UGUUGUUGCUAAGAGAGCUUGUGGAGGCCUUUUUUUGUGUUAUGUUAUUGGCAUAGGCUAGUGAGAACACAAGCAAUUUCCAUUUUAGCAGUCGGGCUUUGAUGGCCCAACUUCAAGGGAACACGCAAUGGUCAGAAUAAAAAGACAGGACAGCAAAAAACAAGGGGAAUGCUUUUCCAUGUCUAUCUCUGCCAAUUUUUCACACUUUUUGGGGGUCGAAGAAAAAUAAACAUCCAAAGUGCACAAGAUCUCGAGGAUUUGAUCAUUGAAAGAUGAGUUUGUACAGUUGCUGAUGGGCAAAUUCCACCCCAGGAAGAAAUGGGAGGCCAUGGUGUGUCCAGUCAGAAAGGAAGGACAGUUUGUAAGAGGUCCAGGACAGUUCUAAUUUGGCUAAGCAGUCCUCGAAGGAAAUAAAUCCAAAACACAUGUAUCAUUAAGACCUGA